rnacentral:rRNA from 1 species
GACGAACGCUGGCGGCGUGCCUAAUACAUGCAAGUUGAGCGAUGAAGAUUGGUGCUUGCCCCAAUUUGAAGAGCAGCGAACGGGUGAGUAACGCGUGGGGAAUCUGCCUUUGAGCGGGGGACAACAUUUGGAAACGAAUGCUAAUACCGCAUAACAACUUUAAACAUAAGUUUUAAGUUUGAAAGAUGCAAUUGCAUCACUCAAAGAUGAUCCCGCGUUGUAUUAGCUAGUUGGUGAGGUAAAGGCUCACCAAGGCGAUGAUACAUAGCCGACCUGAGAGGGGGAUAGCCCACAUGGGACUGGGACCCGGCCCAAACCUCCUCGGGGAGGAGCCAGAAGGGAACUUUAGGCAUGGGCGGAAAGUUGAACGGAGAACGCCGGGGUGAGGGAGAAGGUUUUCGGAUCGUAAAACUCUGUUGGUAGAGAAGAACGUUGGUGAGAGUGGAAAGCUCAUCAAGUGACGGUAACUACCCAGAAAGGGACGGCUAACUACGUG